UCACGAGGGCAGAACGUGGUGUGGCCAAAGAAAGGGCCUCUGAGUCUUCACGGUGAUCUUUAUCCUCCCAUUGUCUCUGCAAGGAGAGUUUCUGAAAUUCAGCCAAGUCUCUAAAUUGAUGCAGACAAAUGCUGUGCCCCCACCCCAUGUCAGAUACCCAGCUAGCUGUCCCUUGGUCCAAACCAUUCAGAGGCAAUACCUAGCUAAUUCUUUCUGUAUGUAUUCCUCAGAGGUCACUCUUUUUCGUGUUUCACUGUGUUGGCGUCAAGAAAAUAGAUCUGAUUCCCUUUUUUAUAGUGGCUUAAAUUCAUCCUGAGUUUCCAAAAAAGUGUUUACUUUUUUGAACUACUCACAGGUCCUCCAGGGAUAUACCAAAUCAACACACAGCUACUGAAUGCCUGGGCUUACGUGGAGAGCUACACCCGCACAGGCCAUGCUGGAGCCCAUCUGGUUCAGGCAAGAGCUUCUGGACUUCCAGUCGGAUGGGCUUACCUAGGAGGUGCUACUGCGGGGCUGUACUUGCAGAUGGACAAGACAGGACAGGAGAAUUUGGCCCUCUCGUUGAUAAUAAAAAGGCCCUAGGAAAGAAGAAAAUUGGAAGGGAUAAGGGAGCAUUCGGGUCUGCAAGGGCACAGACAACCCAUUCAGAAAUAGUAAAAGACCUUCUGGUACGGCAAGGAACUUAAAACAGGUUCAGUAAGACCUCCAGCACACUCUGGCAUGAAUGGUCUUUGAACUUAGGGAAGAAGCCACUGGAUUUCAGUUGGUGGCAGAGCAGAUGGAAGAGGAAGAAGAAAGAGCGAAUUCUCCUGGAGUCAAGAGUGUUUGACUGUAUUUCAGGAAAACAGGCUAACUGCUCUCUCUUGAUGAGUUGUGGCUGGGAGGUGCUAUUUGCAGGGACCACAGGAGUCUCAGGUAAUGCGAACAGGCUGGGAGGUUUGAAUUGAACCUUUCACACUGAUCAGAGUGGCAUCCGAUUGUUAGCUGUACUUGCCAAUUUCCCUCAAGCGGGAUCGGCCCUGGUGCCCAUGCGGCCAGCACUAAGCCGUAAGUCAUCCCCACAUCUUCUGUCAGAUUCAUCACCAACACCUUUGAGAAAACGUCUUCAGUGGGCAAUUCUCUUAGAAGACCAUUAAAAUAAUAAUCAGGAUGCCUGGGUGGCUCAGCAGUUGAGCAUCUGCCUUCGGCUCUGGUCGUGGUCCCGGGGUCCUGGGAUCGAGUCCCACAUCGGGCUCCUGCUUCUCCCUCUGCCUGUGUCUCUGCCUCUCUGUGUGUGUGUCUCUCAUGAACAAAUAAGUAAAAUCUUAAAAAAAAAAAAAAAAAGACCAUUAAAAUAAGACACAGAAAAGAUCCACCACCAUAGUGGCAUCUGUUGACUCUGCAGCACCUUCCCCCUUCCCCUCUCCCUUGGGUGCCUUAUUUCUCCCCUUUGGAACCAACACUGACAGGGUAACCAUGCUUUCCAGGCCUGGACACAUACUUGCCAUCCAGGGAAGAUGGAUGAACCACCUCACCUCUGGCUCUGAGGUCUGCCCCCCCUUUGGAGCUGGUCGG
rnacentral:lncRNA from 12 species